CCUGAAGGGACGUUGAAGACGACGACGUUGAUAGGCCGGAUGUGUAAGCGCAGCGAUGCGUUGAGCUAACCGGUACUAAUGACCCGUGAGGCUUAACCUUACAACGCCAGAGGCGUUU
rnacentral:rRNA from 1 species